UACGUAGGGUGCGAGCGUUGUCCGGAAUUAUUGGGCGUAAAGAGCUCGUAGGCGGUCUGUCGCGUCGGUCGUGAAAACCUGCAGCUUAACUGUGGGCGUGCGGUCGAUACGGGCAUGACUGGAGUUCGGCAGGGGAGACUGGAAUUCCUGGUGUAGCGGUGAAAUGCGCAGAUAUCAGGAGGAACACCGGUGGCGAAGGCGGGUCUCUGGGCCGAUACUGACGCUGAGGCGCGAAAGCGUGGGGAGCGAACAGG
rnacentral:rRNA from 1 species